rnacentral:rRNA from 1 species
CCUACGGGUGGCUGCAGUGGGGAAUAUUGGACAAUGGGGGGAACCCUGAUCCAGCCAUGCCGCGUGUGUGAAGAAGGCCCUCGGGUUGUAAAGCACUUUCAGUGAGGAAGAACGCCUGGUGGUUAAUACCCAUCAGGAAAGACAUCACUCACAGAAGAAGCACCGGCUAACUCCGUGCCAGCAGCCGCGGUAAUACGGAGGGUGCGAGCGUUAAUCGGAAUUACUGGGCGUAAAGCGCGCGUAGGUGGCUUGAUAAGCCGGUUGUGAAAGCCCCGGGCUCAACCUGGGAACGGCAUCCGGAACUGUCAAGCUAGAGUGCAGGAGAGGGAGGUAGAAUUCCCGGUGGAGCGGUGAAAUGCGUAGAGAUCGGGAGGAAUACCAGUGGCGAAGGCGGCCUUCUGGACUGACACUGACACUGGGGUGCGAAAGCGUGGGUAGCAAACAGGAUUAGAUACCCCGGUAGUCC